rnacentral:rRNA from 1 species
UACGUAGGGACCGAGCGUUGUCCGGAUUCAUUGGGCGUAAAGAGCUCGUAGGCGGCUGUUCAAGUCGAACGUGAAAACUCGGAGCUCAACUCCGAGCCUGCGUUCGAUACUGGACGGCUAGAGUCUGGUAGGGGGAUCUGGAAUUCCUGGUGUAGCGGUGGAAUGCGUAGAGAUCCGGAGGAACACCAGCGGCGAAGGCGGCAUCCUGGACUGGUCCUGACACUCAUGAGCGAAAGCGUGGGGAGCGAUCCGG